UGCCAUAUUUGUGAAAAAUGCAGAUGUUGGUUCAGCACUGGAACUAAUCACUAAAGAUGGAAUAAAAACUCUAAGCAGCCUAGGACUCGGUUAUCUGCACUAAAAAAAAGUAGUGGAGCUCACAACCCUGCCUGACACUACAGAAAUACUUCUCAGACUCAAUUCCAGGGGUAUGGCUACAACUACCAAGGCGCUCCGUGGAGCUACUACCCAGGCCAGAUUCCGCAUAAUCAGUGGAUCAAUCCGCAAGGCACCUGGGCGUCUCAACCCCAGCAACAGCCCAUUCAAUUUGCUCCGCAACAACCCCAGCUGCAGUCUUAGAUCCAGUCCGCUUCGACGCAUCUGUCCCAACCUCAGCGCCGCCGGCGUAACAGGUACAACAAUUUCCGUCCCUUCCCCCGCAACCUCUGCAACAAUCCCAGCAAGGUCAGCAGAUGCAAUUUCCUCCACAACAACCUCCCGCUCUGCAGCAGUCUCAACCAGUGCAGAUCUACCCGCAACAGCAAGGUUCAUACAUGCAACAGCCUUUGCAAUUCCAGCAAUUCCCCCGCCCCACCUUCUCAGGGAUUUUGUAACCGGCACCUACUUCCAUCAACCCACAGCAAACUGCCGUUCCAGUUCCCCCCUCUGUGACGAGCUCUAGCUCUGCAACGAGGUCUAUUAACAAUCUGCAACCACCGUCUGCAAAUGGCUCGGCCACUUCAUCCAUGUUACAGUCUACCUCUACGCCUGAAUUUUUGAAUGUUACCUAUGGCAACUGUGGUGACCCUGGACAUCAUACUGAGAAUUGUGCAUAACCAAAGAUCUGUGAUGUCUGACGAUCCACCUCUCACAAAGCUUCUGCUUGCCCAGUCAAAAAGAAAAGUCACCAGACUGCUAGAUACAUUGGUAGUCCUGCUGAUGGUCUUUUACCACAUUGAAUGCCCUAACCUCAGCAGCCAGAAGCCGGAUGCAACUAAGAAUGUUGGUUUAGUUUUUCUGGAGCUUGGAGAACUCACUAAAGAGGAACUUGCUAAGGAAUUCUCUGCCAUUUACAAGACCUCCUGGCCCUGGCAGAUUAGGGAACUGGACCCCUACACCUUUUUGGUUAAGUUUCCACCACACAUCCCCCUCUCACACUUAUCUGGUUAUCCCUCUAUAAUCUUAGAGAGGGUGUAACUAUUAAUGUGGCAGAAUGGGAUGGGGAACUUGAUCAAUACCAGGAGCUCCAAUCUGUUUGGAUCCAGCUAAGAGGUUUGCAGCCUAAGUGGUGUGAAUGGUACAUCCUAGACCAGGUGGCUUCAGUCUUUGGUUUGCUCACUGAAGUUGAUUGGGCUGGCAUGUUUAAAAACUUCUAUAGUAUGGUCAGAGUCAAAAUCCGAUGUAUGGAUCACACUCUGAUUCCCAGGGAAAAGCUUUUUGAAUUUCAAGGCAAACUGUUCCAGAUUUCUGUUCAAGUUGAACCUCCCUCUGCUGCUGGAGCUGAUCUAGCUACUACCAAUCAAGAUCACACUUCUGAUGAGGGGCAACUACCUGACCCUCUUCCCCCUUCUCAACAUGGUGGCCCGGGUAAUAACAACAGCCAUCUGCAGAACAUUGCCAGCAACUCUUCACUGUCCCAUGGUGGAAGCUCCUCUGGCACAGUCCCUUCCUCCCAAGCCUCCCUGUCUGGUCUGGAUUCCCAACUUGCAUGUGCCAAGGAAACUUGGCAGGAGAUUGAAAACUGGAUCUUUGAUGACUCACCUAAUCAAGACUCUAUCCUAGAAGAUAUGGAACUCCUUGACUCUGAUACUCCUCCUGCUAAUGAUGUCCUCUCCGAUGUGACUGCCUCUGAAUCAUUACCUGCUAAAGUUGUAGUCAAUCAGGUUGGUAUUCCUGGUGCACCUGUUACUAAUGAGAUGCCCAAGAAUACUGCUACACACCUUGCUCCCCUUGAUAUUCCUGAAGCCCCUGACAAAAGACAAAGUGAUGAUGAGAUCCUGGUUCAGAAUGCAACUAAGAAGCAGAAACACUAAGGCCCAGUCAUUGCUACUAGACACAGUACUCGAUUCCAAGGAAAGGGCAAAUCUAUGAUGGAAUUAGCUCAACGUAACAAGAAAAAACAGAACCUGGAAAUUCCUGCAACCUCCUCCAAGCUGAAAGUCCUUGGUGAGUCUGCGUCUAGUACAAUCCAUGCAUGGCAUCAUGGUAAAGAGGACGGGUCGAUCGGCAGUGGUAGCGAGUGGAUCGGCAGUCAAGUGAAGCCAGUAGUUGUGUGACAUGCAUGUACCAGUCCUAGACUUAGUUUGAGUCCGUUGUCAUCCGUCCAUGCAGCUGAGAAUUGGAGAGGAUCUACACGUUGGAGAGCCGAGAGACUAGCUCUAUGUGAGCUGAGUUAGUUGAGGCAUAUACGUGAAGUGAGUUGAUCCAUGAGAAUAGCUGCAUGUGCAUGUGGUUAGUUGUGCUAGUGCUAAAUGUGUGCGUGCAGCUAGUGCAGAGUGAAAUACGGAUCAGCCGGUGUGUGGCUUGACCGUGUGUGUUCCUUUUAUAAGGAGUUGUAACCAGUUUGUUUAAGUGAACAAGGGAAAGAAGGCACAAGUUGUGCGGUGCCAAAACUCUCUGUGAGUUCAUUGUGUUUGCCGAGAGAAAGAGCUGUGUGUGUUUCUGUGUUUCUUCUCAAAGUGUGUGUGCGUGUAUAGCUGCAUGUGCAUGUGGUUAGUUGUGCUAGUGCUAAAUGUUUGCGUGCAGCUAGUGCAGAGUGAAAUACGGAUCAGCCGGUGUGUGGCUUGACCGUGUGUGUUCCCUUUAUAAGGAGUUGUAACCAGUUUGUUUAAGUGAACAAGAGAAAGAAGGCACAAGUUGUGCGGUGCCAAAACUCUCUGUGAGUUCAUUGUGUUUGCCGAGAGAAAAAGCUGUGUGUUUUUCUGUGUUUCUUCUCAAGUGUGUGUGCGUGUGUCUUCUUCCACCUCUGGCUAUCAACUAUGAAUGCUAUUAAUGCUGCUAUCACGUGGAAUAUAUGGAAAUUUCGCAAUGAUAUGAUCUUUAAUUUUCGCCCCUGGACUGACAUUAAACAGAUCUGGUGGUUAGUUCUGAAAUCUCUUCGCAAAUGGUCAUUGCUGCUCAAGGAUCGCCUGCAGGAAGAGAUGAACCGCUUCCACAAACAUGUUUCUGGUCUCCUCCAGGAGCCAGUAGGGCUAUUGUGGAAAUGAACAAGGCCCUGGCGCUUGCAGCUACUUCAUCUUUCGCCCCAGCGACUCCUAAUCUGGGCUCCCUGCUGGCAGACGCCAUCUCAGGAGGCUGCUCCUCGCUAAGAAUCUCCUCCCUCCCAGGUGACAGCUCGCCCGGGUCGUGGUCACCUCACCCUCAAGCUUCACUCCCAAGUGCACUCAUUAAGCUGAAGCUCCGUGCGAUGCUGUCCCAGUACUCCCCUUCAAAGAACAUCGCUUCUGACGGCGUCUGAUGAAACUUCCUGAUCUCCCUGUGUUUUGCCUGUUUAGAACUACUGUUUACUUUCAUGCUGUACUGUUGCAGCUUCCUUUUGUCGCUGUUUACCUUUGAACUGUACUAUGGUUUCAUUCUUCGUAAUGGGUUUACCUUUGAACUGUA